GACGAACGCUGGCGGCGUGCUUAACACAUGCAAGUCGAACGAAGUGGCGAACGGGUGAGUAACGCGUAAUCAACCUGCCCUUCAGAGGGGGACAACAGUUGGAAACGACUGCUAAUACCGCAUCCUGAAGGCGGGGAUUGCGUCUGAUUAGCGAGUUGGAGGGGUAACGGCCCACCAAGGCGAUGAUCAGUAGCAGGUCUGAUAGGAAGAACGAGCAAAUUGGGACUGAGACACGGCCCAGACUCCUACGGGAGGCAGCAGUGGGGAAUCUUCCGCAAUGGACGAAAGUCUGACGGAGCAAUGCCGCGUGAGUGGUGACGGCCUUCGGGUUGUAAAGCUCUGUUAAUCGGGACGCGGUACCGGAAUAGAAAGCCACGGCUAACUACGUGCCAGCCGCCGCGGUAAUAC
rnacentral:rRNA from 1 species